UGGGAAGGCCAGCGAGGGGCCGCAGACUCCCAAACCUGAAACCUGCAGCACUGAUAAGCUGCACCUUGGUGGGCCGUGCGAGCAUUCAGGAGCCUAGAUCAGCAGGACUCCAACAGCAUCCAUCGGAGAGAGACGCUGGCUGCAUUUCACUAUUUAUUAUCAGGAUGCAUGCAGCUCUUCCAAAAGUGACUAGAUAACAGCAGAAUUGUCCAGCAGACGGUGAAGUGUUGCUGGAGGCUGAGCGCUGCACACAACCUGCAUUUACGGCUGUAGAAGAUGGAGACUUUCAUUGAAACUGACAAGCGAAGGUCCAGACGGAUGGCUCUGCUUGAGAUAUGUGACGCUGUGGGGUUCGACUCAGACGGGGAAUAGUUUGAACUAUUUAUGCGAGAGGCGCUCUCAACAGGAGUCCAACCGUACAUGAAAUGUUCAGCAAUGUCAACAACGCCGAAUGUAGGGCAGCCGAGAAUUCCCAGUGACAACAAAGGUCCGUCCUGGCGGUGCCAUCUGCCGCUACCAUAAAGAGGAGAGACGGGCGAGCGAGACGGUGCGUGACAGACUGUUUUAUUUGAC